AGUGAACGCUGGCGGUAGGCCUAACACAUGCAAGUCGAACGGCAGCACAGUAAGAGCUUGCUCUUACGGGUGGCGAGUGGCGGACGGGUGAGGCAUACAUCGGAAUCUACUUUUUCGUGGGGGAUAACGUAGGGACACUUACGCUAAUACCGCAUACGACCUACGGGUGAAAGCAGGGGAUCUUCGCACCUUUCGCGAUUGUAUGAGCCGAUGUCGGAUUAGCUAAUUUGGUAGGUAAAGGCCCACCAAGGCGACGAUCCGUAGCUGGUCUGAGAGGAGGAACAGCCACACUGGGACUGAGACAACGUCCAAACUCCUAAGGGGAGGAGGAGUGGGGAAUAUUGGAGAAUGGGGCGAAGGCUGAUCCAGGCAUACCGCGUGGGGGAAGGAGGGCUUCGGGUUGUAAAACCCUUGUGUUGGGAAAGAAAAGCAGCAGGUUAAUACCCCGCUGUUCUGACGGUACCCAAAGAAGAAGCACCGGCUAACUUCGUG
rnacentral:rRNA from 1 species